rnacentral:rRNA from 1 species
UACGUAGGUGGCAAGCGUUGUCCGGAUUUACUGGGCGUAAAGAGCGCGCAGGCGGUCGCUCAAGUCGCGUGUGAAAGCCCCCGGCUCAACUGGGGAGGGUCACGCGAUACUGAUCGACUGGAAGGCAGGAGAGGGUAGUGGAAUUCCCGGUGUAGUGGUGAAAUGCGUAGAUAUCGGGAGGAACACCAGUGGCGAAGGCGACUACCUGGCCUGUUUCUUGACGCUGAGGCGCGAAAGCUAGGGGAGCAAACGGG